rnacentral:lncRNA from 1 species
GGGAAGAAGGAGGAGGACGUUUUGUAUUCAGUGCACAGCUCAAUCUGGAAAGUACAAAUACACACAUGAACCAAUUAGUCGAUCGCCCACUCAGGGUGGGUGGUAGAUGACCACCCCGAUUUAGGAUCUAGCAGGAAACAAGUGAUGACAGAGGUGUCAGGCGCUUUGUGGAUAUUUAUGUGACUCUUUUUCAUUGCCAUUUGGAAACUCCUCACGCAGGAGUCAAGGAAACUCCAAUCCUCCUUAAACUUCACUGCGGAGAAACAGAAUUCUGAGAAAAAACAGCCACCAAGGACAUCCUUUUUAAAUACAAGUACAAGACACAGGAGAAAGAAAGAAAAAAAGGAUUUUCCAGAAGUGUUCCUCAAAGGAAAAAAAAAAAAGCGCAUAGUUAGUGAGUGUCUUGAUGAAAAGUUUCUUCAUAAAAACUACAACAGAGGACUUCAGGUUUCAACUAAGAUGGCACCAUGGGGAGAUCCAGAAUGCCCUUCUACAGACACAUGGGUGGAUGAGAAAACACAAACAUCAAAAACAGAUUUCCAUUAGACAUUAGGGAUUUCUUUGAAGAACAAAAAGCAAACAUCACUGUAAAGAGAGGAGCAAGCAAGAGGAUGGAGAGUGAAGAAAAAUGAUCAUUUCCAUAUUGAACUAUCCUGGGAAACAAAAUGAAAAUCACUUCUUUCCGUGGAAAGCUUUGCAGCAACAGGUAAGCUCCCCUCAAAGGGAGAGUAGUCGAUAUUUGGCUCUCUUCAUUUCUACAGUACUUCACAGUAGGUAAGAUAUGGUUAUCAUUUAUGUGAAAAAUGUAUAUAAAUAACAUUUGAUAAUUGGAGACAAAAGGUUUUCUGUUUUUAUUCUAACAGUACCUUCAUUCAAAUUAUUGAAUGCUGAUUCCUAACAUCGGAUUUGAUACUUUUAGUUGCUUCAGCUCCCAUGUCCAAUUAGUGUUCACAUUCUAAAAGCUUUUUCUUGAACCAUAAUUUAUACCUUCAUCACUAUUUUUAAACCCUUUAGAAUAUAUUUUUCUCCUAAUGAGCUUAUUUUG